rnacentral:tRNA from 1 species
CCUUGGUUAGCUCGGUAGGUAGAUCGCCCCACUUGAAAUGGAGAGGUCCCGGGUUCGAUACCCGGACCAGGCG